rnacentral:tRNA from 1 species
UCUCUGGUGGCUCAGUGGUAAAGCAUCUGCCUGCAAUGCAGGAGACAUGGGUUCGAUCCCUGGGUUGGGAA